UCUGCCGGGGCCGUCCCUUCGCGCGCGGAUAUAACGGGGAUAUAACGCACUGCAGGCAGGCCUAUAAUAUAUAUAUGCACACGAUUUGAGGAAACUCCUAAGUCAGAAAUAGACUUUUGUGCAGAAAAAGCGAGAGUUCUAUGCUGAGAUGACAUCAUUUUUCUUGCAUGUUUCUGAGAACAGAAAGGGACCAUGAACACUCUUCUUCAGUCCUUGUCCCGAAUGCAGAAAGGAUGCAUGGGGGAAAUACAACAGCUGUGGGAGAGAACAUCUCAGAGAAGGCUUUCAAGGGAAGGAUGAGCAGAUGAUGAACUUGGGGAAAUUUGCACGAAUGAUCAUUCUGACAGGGUUUAAGAAAAACAUUUCUGUCAUUCCAUGGAUGGAUAUGUCCAAAUAGCUAACAAAAUGUGCACACAAAUUAAAUUUUAAAUGAGGAAAGCAGAUUCGAAUGCGCUAAACCAUCAUUUAUAGAAUUAGAUCAAGCUUCAAUAAAUCAAUCUGUUUUGAAUUGAGAAAU